UCCCUGAUGUUAGCGGCGGACGGGUGAGUAACACGUGGGUAACCUGCCUGUAAGACUGGGAUAACUCCGGGAAACCGGGGCUAAUACCGGACGGUUGUCUGAACCGCAUGGUUCAGACAUAAAAGGUGGCUUCGGCUACCACUUACAGAUGGACCCGCGGCGCAUUAGCUAGUUGGUGAGGUAACGGCUCACCAAGGCGACGAUGCGUAGCCGACCUGAGAGGGUGAUCGGCCACACUGGGACUGAGACACGGCCAGACUCCUACGGGAGGCAGCAGUAGGGAAUCUUCCGCAAUGGACGAAAGUCUGACGGAGCAACGCCGCGUGAGUGAUGAAGGUUUUCGGAUCGUAAAGCUCUGUUGUUAGGGAAGAACAAGUGCCGUUCAAAUAGGACGGCACCUUGACGGUACCUAACCAGAAAGCCACGGCUAACUACGUGCCAGCAGCCGCGGUAAUACGUAGGUGGCAAGCGUUGUCCGGAAUUAUUGGGCGUAAAGGGCUCGCAGGCGGUUUCUUAAGUCUGAUGUGAAAGCCCCCGGCUCAACCGGGGAGGGUCAUUGGAAACUGGGGAACUUGAGUGCAGAAGUGGAGAGUGGAAUUC
rnacentral:rRNA from 1 species